rnacentral:rRNA from 1 species
UACGUGGGGGGCAAGCGUUGUUCGGAAUUACUGGGCGUAAAGGGCUCGUAGGCGGCCAACUAAGUCAGACGUGAAAUCCCUCGGCUUAACCGGGGAACUGCAUCUGAUACUGGAUGGCUUGAGAUUGGGAGAGGGAUGCGGAAUUCCAGGUGUAGCGGUGAAAUGCGUAGAUAUCUGGAGGAACACCCGUGGCGAAAGCGGCUCUCUGGAACGGUACUGACGCUGAGACGCGAAAGCGUGGGGAGCGAACAGG